rnacentral:rRNA from 1 species
UUGGCCUACGGGGGGCAGCAGUGGGGAAUAUUGCACAAUGGGGGAAACCCUGAUGCAGCGACGCCGCGUGAGUGAAGAAGUAUGUCGGUACGUAAAGCUCUCUCAGCAGGGAAGAAAAAAAGUCUUUGGCUUUGGACGGUACCUGACUAAGAACCCCCGGCUAACUACGUGCCAGCAGCCGCGGUAAUACGUAGGGGGCAAGCGUUAUCCGGAUUUACUGGGUGUAAAGGGAGCGUAGUCGGCAGCGCAAGUCUGGAGUGAAAUGCCGGGGCUCAACCCCGGACCUGCUUCGGAAACUGUGCAGC